UGAGCAAGUGGCCAUGGCUUUUGGCAUCCACAGGUUUCUAAUCUAAAGGAUAAAGAAUGAGCCAACAUCAGCUGCAGGAAGUUAGGCAGACAUGGCGUUUGCUGUUGGAAAUCUGAGUUCUGCAAUCAGAGAUAAAACAUUUGCUGAUAACCAUAGAUAGAUUAGCAUCUGUCUGGAGAUUUUGAAGUCCUAUGGAUAGAGAUGGGAAAACACCGGACCGUUUGGUUUGCUAGAAGUUUCUUAUCUUAGAGACAGGGCAAGCCGGUGAAAGAAACCAGACGUUGGUCCAGACGAUGACGUGUAUGACUGAAGCUGAAUUGGGAAAGGGUGCCAGGGCCUGGCUAGCGGUCGGCGACACGGCUGAAGAAAACUGUAACAUCAUUAUUCUCAAAGGGUUUAUUUAGUACAUGGUAAGUGAGGUGUGACCCUCCUCUGUGGAAAACACGGACUGGAAACUUACUAAGUUGUCAGCACAGGAUAAAUGAAAUUGAGUGAUACAUUAAUAAAUUAUGUAUAUAACACUUCCAAUAGAGACAUUCCAAUUCACCUUUGUUAUAUACAUAAAUUUUCUCAGGGUUUAUGAGAUAAAAUUUGAUGUGUCACUAACCCCUGCUGAUAUCAAUCUUUCCAAGAUUUUUCCUCUCAGUUGAUAAGACAUUAACA